rnacentral:rRNA from 1 species
AGUGAACGCUGGCGGUAGGCCUAACACAUGCAAGUCGAACGGCAGCACAGUAAGAGCUUGCUCUUACGGGUGGCGAGUGGCGGACGGGUGAGGAAUACAUCGGAAUCUACUUUUUCGUGGGGGAUAACGUAGGGAAACUUACGCUAAUACCGCAUACGACCUACGGGUGAAAGCAGGGGAUCUUCGGACCUUGCGCGAUUGAAUGAGCCGAUGUCGGAUUAGCUAGUUGGCGGGGUAAAGGCCCACCAAGGCGACGAUCCGUAGCUGGUCUGAGAGGAUGAUAAGCCACACUGGAACUGAGACACGGUCCAGACUCCUAUGGGGGGCAGCAGUGGGGAAUAUUGGACAAUGGGCGCAAGCCUGAUCCAGCCAUACCGCGUGGGUGAAGAAGGCCUUCGGGUUGUAAAGCCCUUUUGUUGGGAAAGAAAAGCAGCAGGUUAAUACCCCGCUGUUCUGACGGUACCCAAAGAAUAAGCACCGGCUAACUUCGUGC